rnacentral:lncRNA from 1 species
GUUUCUUCAUUGUAUUAUGAUGUAUGAGAAUUCCUUGGGUCCACCUCAUCCUGCUCUUUGAGAGAGAAUUAAAUUUGUACUUUGAACAAAAAAAUAAAUACAUAAAAAUAAAUUUUUUGAGUUUUGUUUUAUGAUCCAGGAUAUAUGGACUAGCUUCAUCAGUGCUCCAGAUACAUUGAAAAGAAUGUGUAUUCUGCUGUUGGGUGGGCUGUUCUAUAAUUGUCAAUUAGGUCAAGUUGGUUGAGAGCGUUGCUCAAGUGUUCCACACCUUUACUGAUUUUCUGUGUACUUGUCAGUUACUGAGAGAGGGGAAUUGAAAUCUCUGACUCGAAUGCACUGAGCACAGGCCCUGACAUAUGGUAGCAAUGCAAUAAAUGUUUGUUACGUGAGUGAAUGGAUGAAAAAGCAAAAGAAUAAAGACUUUGCUCUUCACAUGGGUGACCUGGGACUUCCUCAUGACUCUUUAUCAGAGGAUUUAAGAUGUGAGGAGGUAGAGGUGGUUUGCACAGAGGAUCAUAUCUUCAAAGAUCUCUCAGACAAAGGGAAGCCUUUGGAAGCAGGGCCUGUGCACCCCCUUGUGUCACCUGGAUGGAAUGUGCUGCCAGCGUUACUUCUCUGCCAAAGAACAGACCUUCCCAAGGCUGAGGAGGAGGCAGCCCUUGCAUGGGACACCGUGACGGAAAUCAAAGCACAAGACAGUGUCGUUUGUCUUUAUCUGCUUAGGGAUUUUUCCUUACCUGUGAAGUGAUCUGGGCUUUCGAGUACAUUGUUAGAUAUGAUUCUCUUUUUAUAGUAGCCCAGCUUUGGUACAAUGCCAUUUUGUGUAAUUAAAAAUAUGUUUAACAGUA